rnacentral:rRNA from 1 species
CUACGGGAGGCAGCAGUGGGGAAUAUUGCACAAUGGGCGCAAGCCUGAUGCAGCCAUGCCGCGUGUAUGAAGAAGGCCUUCGGGUUGUAAAGCACUUUCAGCGAGGAGGAAAGGUUGAUGCCUAAUACGUACUAACUGUGACGUUACUCGCAGAAGAAGCACCGGCUAACUCCGUGCCAGCAGCCGCGGUAAUAAUCUCUAGAGG